CCGGUUAAACCUAUGGGUUUAUAAACAUAAGUCAGUCUUAAAGGAAACCCCUAAGCAACCUAACUCCACUAGCAACAGGGCUCGCCACGAGGUGUCGCAUCUCACGCCCACCAAAUCCGCACUCAGCAGAUCUCCAUGUUAUGGCCCUGAAAAGGUUUGCCCACAAUGGGGUGAGAAUAGAUCUCAUCGAGUUAAAUCCUAAGCCUCAACUAGGAAGAUAAUUCAUCUAGAGGCAGCCUAAGCACACAUCAUAUAAGACUUACCUCGCCUCAGCACCUCCCUGCAUGUCAGUAUAAUUCAUAUCACAAAUGUAUAUAGUAAAUGCACACAUCAAUUGGAACGCCUCACUUAUAUCAUAAUCAAUCAUAGGGGUUCAAAUUAUAAGGCCAAAUCGUUAUGACACGUCCCAUUUCAUGUCACACAAUUUUGUCACAUAAUCAAGCGCGUUUAUCUCAAUCAUUCACACAUUCCAAUUGAUUACGACCCCACGAAACGACCUACUUGAUGUUCGGUGGUCUUCUGGCGUAACUAGGCAUCGUCUCACCCCAUUGAGCACAGCAACAUGUACACUAGACAGCAAUCGCAAAGGGGUAUUGGUCCAGCCUUUAUUGCGACCAUCAUCCGUUGUCUAGAGGCAUCCCAUAUAGGGGCAUCGUCCACCCGUCGCACAUCGGGGACGGGUUCUCAUAAUCAUUACACGAUCAUUCAAUCCCGGCCAAGGACAUUGUGCUUUGCACUCAAAUGUCUCAAUUAAGAUUAUGUGCUUGGCCUAUUUUCUUCGUAUUAAAAGCACUCGAUAAAAUAAUUGUGUGUGGGUACACAGUCAAAUUGGACCAUAAAGCGUGAUAUCCUUUCAUCUUAAAAUCUCACGAUUUUAUAUAAUACUAAAAACAUUUUCGGCGUAAAAAACUGACACCCGGUAUUUUUUUUAAUUAAAUACCGAAGUUUCACAUUUUUGAAAUAAUAAUUCAAGAAUCAACACCCGGCAUCAAAUUGCACAAAUUAACAAUUAAUUGCACAAACUAAUUGCACUACGACAAUCAGCACGAAAUUCUAACAACCGGCUAUCCCGGUAUAAUUUACACUAAUUAAUAAAUAAUUAAAUAAAUUAUAUUUAAACAAAUAAAUAAAUUGCGAUUAAUUAAAUUGAACCACUUAAUUAACCUGACCAUGCAGGCACAUCAUCCACCAAAUCAACUCUUAGCUUCCAUCAUAUAGCUGAAACACCAAAAUCUCAUUUUAAAAAUAAACUCAGUAACCCUUUUUCUCUUGUUCAAACCUUCCGAAAUAAAUUCAUACGGGGUCCCAUAUUUAAAAUCAAUCCACCAAAGUUUGCACGCACCUCGUAUAAAACCUCCUCGUUUUAUUGAGCAAAUAAAACUUGGCGUCCAAACCCAACACCAUAUUUCUUUUCUAAUUUCUUUUCCAACCCCCUCUUUUGAAAACAAACCUUAAUAACCCCUCUUUUUUUUUUUGUUCAAAUAUUUAGAAAUAAAUUCAUAGGUACUAACGUACUCAAAAUUAAACCGUCAAACUUUGCACGUACCUAAUUUAAAACCUUAUUUUUUUAUUGGAUAAAUAAGUUUUGGUGUCUGGAUCCGACACCCCAUUUAUUUUCUAUUUAAUAGUCCAAGAUGUCACAUUUUAUAAUAAUACUAAGGGCCCGUUUGUUUGUAUUUCUUUUUUUUGUUUUUAAACACUUUUUCUGUUUUUCUGUUCCUGGGAACAAAAAAGGAACAGAAACGCGUUUGGACGCGUUUCUGUUCCUUUUUUGUUCUUUUGUUCCCAGGAACAAAAAAGAAACAGAAACAAGAAACACAAAUUUUGUGUUUCUUGUUUCUGAAACACAAAUCAGAAACAAAAAAGGAACAAAAAGGGAACACGUCUCCUCCGAGCCUCUCCUCGUGCAAGCGUCUCUACCGUCGUCUUCUCCGGCGCCAACAGCCGCCUCUGUCUCGAGACCAUCUGGCUUCUCCACCGUCGUCCUCUCCGACGCCGACAGCCGCUGCGAGCGUCUCCACCUGCGAGCGGGUGACGGAGCAGGGUCGCGGGUCGCUGGGCGGCGGCGGCGGCUGCGGUGCGGGGCUCGACCGUGGGGUCUCGAGCGGCGGACGUCUAGGAGCGGAGCGGCGAGGACGGCCGGUCGAGUCGUGGGCCGGCGCGGGGUCGACGAUCGAGCGGAUCUCGAAGUCGUGGGUCAUGGCGCGGUGAGAUCUGAUGCGGCGGUGGCGAACAGAGGCUCGAGACCUGCAGAUGCGUCGAUCGGGCGUGAGGCGGAGGGGCGGUCGCCGAUGCGGUGGCGGCGAGGAGGCGUCGAGCGCGGUCGCCGAUGCGGUGGAGGGAGACGACGGUGUGGCUCUGGGUCACCGUCGGCCCGGCGCGGCGAGGCCGACCUCACGCUUGGCUGGGCGAGCUCCAUCUCGCCCAGAUCCGGCGAGGCCGAGCUCGCCCAGCGGCCGGCGACGCAGAGCAUCGCCGGGGGCUGGCGACGCCGAGCCUCGCCGGGGGCCGGCGAGCCUCGCCGUGGCUGGGCGAGGCUGCCGGCCCUCGUCGGCCGGUCGCCGGCCAUGGCCGAGGCCGGCGACCGGCCAAAAGUAGAAAAAAGGAAAAAGGAAAAAGAAAAAAGAAAAAAGGAAAAAGAAAAAAGAAAAAAGGAAAAAGAAAAAAGAAAAAGGAAAAAGAAAAAAGAAAAAAGGAAAAAAUAAGAAAGAAAAUAAAAAAUUAAAAUUAAAAUAUUAAAAAAUUAAAAGAAAUAAAAAAAAUAUACAAACUUAUCAAACGUGUUUCUAUUCUUAUUAUAUUUCUGGAACAAGUUUACCAAACUCGUUUUUUUGUUCAGAAAUUGUUCCUAGGAACAGAAACACUUUUUUUUUUUUUUUAUUUCUGUUCCCUAGAACAAUUUUUAAACAGAAACGCAAACAAACGCACCCUAAACAACCAACAUAGAGCAAUCCAUCUCAUCACCUCACACCUAAGUUCUCAGCAUGCCACAGGUCCACCACAUCACUAAAUACACCUUAUUCAAUAAGCACAACAUCAAAAACAACCGCAAAACCAUAAUUGGUCAUAAUUGGCAGAAACUGGACCACUUGCGCGUCUCCGAGUUUAAAUCUAGAAACAUAAUCAAACGAGUUCAGAAAAUUCUCAAAUUUGAAUAUGUUAUAAAAAAAACACAUAAAAGAAAUUUUUUUAUGAAGACACAAUGACCCAAAUCAUUCUAGAAUGAGAGAAAUAAAUCGCUCAAGUCGAGACUAAAACUGGGUCUGUUUCCAGAAAUUACGUUUUUCAAACUCAGUUUGGUUCGAGGUCCAAAACACGUUCGUUUGAUAUGAAAUUUUAGUAUCUUAAACUAAAGAUGUAAGGAACAACUUUUGUGAGGAAAUAAUUUUGAAAAUCGAACCCUAAGGGUUGAUAAAAAUCAUUUGAACACCAAAAGGUCACCAGUUCUAGCACCAUCUGAGAUUUUGUUUGCAAAUGAUGAAGCUAACCCAUUCUUUCAAAUCCCUAAAAAUCUUGAGUAAAAUAUAUGUCAUAGUUGAAGAUGUCUAGAAUAUUUUUCAUGAAAGAAGUAACUUCAAAAUCGUAACACAUUUUGAUCCACGAAAAUGGCAAACGGCGAGAGUCCAGUAAAUUGAUCAGAAUUUCAACUAAUCCAACUUGUCAUGACCUACCCCUUGAGGGAGAUAAUAGCUUUAGGGGUAUUGCCUAAAUGAUGGACCUAAGGCUCAUGAUUAGGCACGAACUCUCCCAAGCCCAUACAUCGCAUGACACUGGGUUUUUUUUUUUAGAAUUUUACAAUGAGGAGUCGUCACUAGUCUAUUAGAGUUGGCUAGAAACCAAGUGAUGCAUGAUAGUAUACCUCACUUCCUACGCAAUCAGAGAAUCUAGGAUCGGGGACUUAAUUACACUAAUUGAUCAAUUAAUGACAUUUCGGUACCUAAUCUUGUUCAUUUUAAAAGAAAAGAUUUUUGUCAUGUAGUUUGGAUUUAUUUUAUACCUAUCUACUAACAUGUGAGGUGAUUAUGUGGGUGCGCAAUCAUUACAGUAACAAUUAGCAGCUGAGGAAAACAUUUAAAUAAAUUGCAUGGGAGAUCACACAUUUAACAUGAAGGAAUAGAUAAAUGCUAAUAAUAACUAGACUAAAUGGAAGCCAAAAUCAACAUACCAAAAGUGCAAAAUCAAAGGUAUUCGUCUUUAAGGACAACUAUAACUUCUUGAGCAGGGUUUUAAAUUGAAAGACUUCAUUUUUUAAGAGAAAAUAAACCAAGAGAUUAAUCUGAACUUUUUUGAUGAAUUUUAAUUUUAAGUUUUUACGAAUUUUUUUUUUUGGGAUUUUUCGAAAACCUUCUUUCAAUUUUUUUCGAUUUUUUUAGUUUUUGAUUAAUUAAUUAAUUUUAUUUGUUAUUUUCAAAUUUUAAUUGAUUUUUUUGUUCUUUUUAAUAUUUAUUCAUUGCUGAUAAAAAAAAAAAAAAAGGAUUCGAACUGGGUCUUGAGACCCGACCCAACUAAACAGACCCAAAGCAUAUUGUAUUGGAUUAAACUAAAAACAUUAACCCUAAAAGGCCGCUCGGAAUUAAUUAUAAAAGCCCAUGAAUUUUUUUAACUCUUUUUCCAGCCCACGUUUGAAAUGAGCCCAGCCCACGAAAAAACACCCUAGCGCACUUUUCACAUAUUUUUUCUCCCUUUUUAUUUUCUUUUAAUUCUUUUCUCUUUUUUUUUGUCUUUUUACGUUUUGUCUUUUACUGCUGCACUCCUAUCUCUGCAUUCCUCCUUCCAAAGCAAUUUUUUGCUUUCUUUUUCUAUAUUUUGUUUUACCUUUUACUUUAUAUAUACUUUUCUUUUUCAUUUGUUUUUUCUUUCAUUUUUUCCUCUCCUUUGGUCUUCUUCUCCUUCGUGCUUGCCCACUGCACGCCCAAAGCUUCCCCUGCCUCAAAACAUGGCCUCAUCGCAACUCAGCCCAAACAACAUUGCAGCUCGGAACAACCGGCGACUCUUCCACUACUCGAACUUCCGCCGGUCACUAGUUGACUGGAGAUCAACGCCUUCACCGGAAUGCUUCCAACUAAAGAUUAGAUUUUCGAACUCUAAAUUUUUUUAUAACCAAAACUCCGUCGAUUUGAGUACUAACACCGGCAUGAGCAAACAACAAACUCAAACUCGAACAAAGACAAUAUCACAGCAACGAACCUCGCAGGAACCAUUUCUAAAUCUCAUUUGACAUUGCAUCAAAUGCAAGAAUGCACCAGCUAAAGGAAGGAACCAAGCUCUCUCGGGGCUAUUGUUUGGACCAAGCAACGAUCAUCGACACACAAACAACAUUCCAUACCAACUUAGAGACAGAUCGCAUCAAAUUUAACAUAGGUAUGAACUCAAGGACAAUAAGGCUUGGUCAAGACCAACUAAAAUACUCGGACUUCAUUCAAGCAUCCCUGCAAACAGUUGGCGUGCACGACUCGAACGAGAGAUAUCCGACACGGUCAAGACUCGAACACAGCCCUAAGUUCUUAUCAAAACACACCAAAACACACAACAAGAUCAAUGAAGGACCAGCGGGACCAAAGCUCGCGUGAACUGUUCGAUCCCAAGCUCCGGUUUGACACCUCCUAAAACGGGGCACGUACGGUUCAGAAGACUUACUCGGUUUGGAUGAUGAGCAACGGGCGGGUCUCAAGAAAUGUCGAAACGCUCUCUCGGUCUCACUCUCUCCCUCUAGCUCACCCUCCGUUCUCUCGAGCUCCCCGGUCUCGCUCCCCCUUCGUGCGUCUUCUCCUGCCGCUUCCCUCUCAA
rnacentral:lncRNA from 1 species